GCGAACGCUGGCGGCAGGCUUAGCACAUGCAAGUCGAGCGGGCGUAGCAAUACGUCAGCGGCAGACGGGUGAGUAACGCGUGGGAACGUACCUUUUGGUUCGGAACAACACAGGGAAACUUGUGCUAAUACCGGAUAAGCCCUUACGGGGAAAGAUUUAUCGCCGAAAGAUCGGCCCGCGUCUGAUUAGCUAGUUGGUGAGGUAACGGCUCACCAAGGCGACGAUCAGUAGCNGGUCUGAGAGGAUGAUCAGCCACAUUGGGACUGAGACACGGCCCAAACUCCUACGGGAGGCAGCAGGUGGGGAAUAUUGGACAAUGGGCGCAAGCCUGAUCCAGCCAUGCCGCGUGAGUGAUGAAGGCCCUAGGGUUGUAAGCCCUUUGUGCGGGAAGAUAAUGACGGUACCGCAAGAAUAAGCCCCGG
rnacentral:rRNA from 1 species